GAUGAACGCUAGCGACAGGCUUAACACAUGCAAGUCGAGGGGCAGCAUAGAAGUAGCAAUACUUUGGUGGCGACCGGCGCACGGGUGAGUAACGCGUAUGCAACCUACCUAUCAGAGGGGAAUAACCCGGCGAAAGUCGGACUAAUACCGCAUAAAACAGGGGCACCGCAUGGUGAUAUUUGUUAAAGAAAUUCGCUGAUAGAUGGGCAUGCGUUCCAUUAGGUAGUUGGUGAGGUAACGGCUCACCAAGCCGACGAUGGAUAGGGGAACUGAGAGGUUGGUCCCCCACACUGGUACGAGGACACGGACCAGACUCCUACGGGAGGCAGCAGUGAGGAAUAUUGGUCAAUGGGCGAGAGCCUGAACCAGCCAAGUCGCGUGAAGGAAGAAGGAUCUAUGGUUCGUAAACUUCUUUUGUACUAGAGUAAAAAAGAGUAUGUAUACUCUCUUGCAAGUAUAGUACGAAUAAGCAUCGGCUAACUCCGUGCCAGCCGCCGCCGUAACAC
rnacentral:rRNA from 1 species